rnacentral:rRNA from 1 species
UACGGGGGGGGCAAGCGUUGUUCGGAAUUACUGGGCGUAAAGGGCUCGUAGGCGGCCAACUCAGUCGGACGUGAAAUCCCUCGGCUUAACCGGGGAAUGGCGUCCGAUACUGGAUGGCUUGAGUCCGGGAGAGGUGAGUGGAAUUCCUAGUGUAGAGGUGAAAUUCGUAGAUAUUAGGAAGAACACCAGUGGCGAAGGCGGCUCACUGGCUCGGUACUGACGCUGAGGUGCGAAAGCGUGGGGAGCAAACAGG